GACGAACGCUGGCGGCGUGGAUUAGGCAUGCAAGUCGAACGGUAUCAUCCUUUCGGGGGUGAGAGAGUGGCGAACUGGUGAGUAACACGUAGGUUAUCUACCCUCAAGACGGGGACAACCCAGGGAAACUUGGGCUAAUACCGGAUGUGAGCAACUUUUAGUUGUUUGAAAGGUGGCGUAAGCUGUCGCUUGGGGAUGAGCCUGCGUCCUAUUAGUUAGUUGGUGAGGUAACGGCUCACCUAGGCAAUGAUAGGUAGGCGGCCUUAACGGGUGGUCGCCCACACUGGGAUUGAGAUACGGCCCAGACUCCUACGGGAGGCAGCAGUCGAGAAUAGUCUACAAUGGUCGGAAGACUGAUAGUGCGACGCCGCGUGAACGAUGAAUCCCUUCGGGUGUAAAGUUCUUUUAUAUGUGAGCAGUGCUUCUUAUAUUAAACAGUAAUGGGGAAGAGAUAUUAGCAUAUGAAUAAGCAACGGCUAAACUCCGUGCCAGCAGCCGCGGUAAA
rnacentral:rRNA from 1 species